UACGUAGGUGACAAGCGUUAUCCGGAUUUAUUGGGCGUAAAGCGCACGCAGGCGGUCUAUCAAGUCUGACGUGAAAUCUCUCGGCUUAACCGGGAGCGGUCGUUGGAAACUGAUGGACUUGAGGCGAUGAGAGGGGUGUGGAAUUCCCGGUGUAGUGGUGGAAUGCGUAGAUAUCGGGAGGAACACCAACGGCGAAAGCACUCUGCUGGGCCGACACUGACACUGAGAGACGAAAGCUAGGGGAGCGAAUGGG
rnacentral:rRNA from 1 species